CUCCCAUCUAUCCCACGCUCAGCUGCAGAAGAUCUGGAAAGCUCUUCUCCCCAGAAAUCCUUCCCCAGCGCGGCCUCUGUGGUGGGAUCAUGCUGUGUUCUUCUUCCCCUCCACAUGGCCUUGGCCUGAGAGAAGGAGCAGAGUGGGCUGGGGCCGCUGCAGAGGAAGCAGCUGUAAUCAGUGGAGGAGCAGAUGCUCACUAUAGAGGUGGAGAACUAGCGCAAACAGCACCUUUUGUGAAAAUAACUCUUAUCCCUAAGACUUCCAAUCUCUAAGCAGAGAACCGAACUGAAUACAAAGAAGACUGUCUCUAUCAUGAGAAAUGGACUUGCUAGUCUUGACCCAUGGAACAAAUGCUCAUUUGCAACCUGUACACAUGAAAUGCACUCUUGAAGAAAAUCUUCCAGCUCACUUUAAUCCAAAAGAAGUUCAGUUCAUAUAUUCUGUGGCCCUCCAUAACAAAAAAAAUAGAACAGCCGAGAACUAUCUGUGGGGUUCACAGGCACAGAAGCUCAGCAACAUGCCAAAUACUGUGGAACUAAAAAUAAAUGAACAACAACAACAAACUGCUGACCGUUAGCUAUGAGAUCCUGGAUAAUAAGAGUUAUAAAAGUAUUAUGCUUCAGCAAGCUUAUCAUCUGAGAAGGUCAUGAAGAAUUACACUGCUACACCCAGUGAACUUUAGGUUAUGGAGAAAUGUUAUUACCUUCCUGGGCGAAAAGGGGUAGCUGUGUUUGAGACUCAUCUGCUGUUAUGGUCAAAGACUUACAGCUCAUGGUAAGUCACAUAACUUUUCAUGUGCACUGUGAUGUGCUUCAGGGUCCUAGGCCUGUUUUAUUCAUAUUAAGAUCUACACAGAGAGCCUUAUGGAUCCCAUCUGUGGCAAACGCCUGGGCAUGCGUCGGUGUGAAAACCAGCAGUGGUGAGUAUGCUCAUCUGGGACCGUUACAUCCCCAUACAGACACCCUUUGAGGCCACCAGUAGACAUUACGUAAUGGUGUCAUUGAGUAUACUGGAAUAAGACUGAAAGACCAUGCACUGCUGUACUGUGCAUUAAGUCUUGUGGGAUCGACUGGUCAAAUCCUCAGGAAUUUGAGCUGUUUUACCGUAUGCAAAUGAGAUUUCAGUGGGUUAUUUGCCCUUGCCUGGGUGGCUGAAUCUGCACAUGUAACCUGUAGGAAAGUAGCAAGGGGAAGGCA
rnacentral:lncRNA from 1 species